GGAAUUGUGGUUCAGCGGUAGAGCGCUCGCCUAGCAGGUGGGAGGCCCUGGGUUUGAUCCUCAGCACCA
rnacentral:tRNA from 1 species